rnacentral:lncRNA from 1 species
ACUAUUGUUGAAACCAUGCUGUUUGUAAAGGUCCCAUGGGACUAUCAGGCAGCACAAGUUUGAGGUGGGAACAAAUUCUGUCUGAGGUACAUCCUUUGAUGAUUAGAAUUUUUGCUUUCAGGACACAGCAGAGGGCCAGGGGCCCCUGGGCACAUCCUUUGGCCAUUUUCCCUGGGAAAGAAAACUCACCAGUCCAGGUUCCUGAUGUCAGUUUGUAGGGCUCCCUUGGGUCUAUCUGGGCAGCACAAGUUUGCAGUGGGGACAACAUCGGUCUGGGGUCCAUCCUUCGAUGUAUUGACUUUCUGCAGUUAGGUCCCAGCCCAGGGCCCGGGGCCCCUGGGCACAUCCUUUGGCCAUUUUCCCUGGGAAAGAAAACUCACCAGUCCACGUUGCUGAUGUCAGUUUGUAGGACUCCCUUGGGUCUAUCAGAGCAGCACAAGUUUGAGGUGGGGAUCACUUUCAUCUGGGGCACACCCUUUGAUAUAAGGAUUUUUUCCAGUCAGGUCGCAGCCCAGUGCCAAGGGCCCCUGGCCACAUACAUUGACCCUUUACAUUGGGAAAGAAAACUCACCAGUCCAGGUUCCUGAUGUCAGUUUGUAGGGCUUCCUUUGGUCUAUCAGGGCAGCACAAGUUUGAGGUGGGGACAAUUUCGGUCUGGGGUCCUAACUUUGAUAUAAGGAUUCUUUGCAGUCAGGUCCCAGCCCUGUGCUUGGGGCCCCAGGGCACAAUCUUUGGCCAUUUUCCCUGCGAAAGAAAACUCACCAUUCCAGGUUGCUGAUGUCAGUUUGUAGGGCUCCCUUGGGUCUAUCAGAGAAGCACAAGUUUGAGGUGGAGACAACAUCAGUCUGGGGUCCAUCCUUCGAUGUAUGCACAUUUUGCAGUCAGGACGCAGCCCAGGGCCAGGGGCCCCUGGGCACAUCCUUUGGCCAUUUUCCCUGGGAAAGAAAACUCACCAGUCCAGGUUGCUGAUGUCAGUUUGUAGGUCUCCCUUGGGUCUAUCUGGGAAGCAGAAAUUUGAGGAGGGGACGACUUCGGUCUGCGGUCCAUUCUUCGAUAUAAGGAGUUUUUGCAGUCAGGCUCCAGCCCAGGGCCUGGGGCCCCUGGGCACAUCCUUUGGCC